rnacentral:rRNA from 1 species
GGCGGCGUGCUUAACACAUGCAAGUCGAACGGAAAGGCCCUGCUUUUGUGGGGUGCUCGAGUGGCGAACGGGUGAGUAACACGUGAGUAACCUGCCCUUGACUUUGGGAUAACUUCAGGAAACUGGGGCUAAUACCGGAUAGGAGCUCCUGCUGCAUGGUGGGGGUUGGAAAGUUUCGGCGGUUGGGGAUGGACUCGCGGCUUAUCAGCUUGUUGGUGGGGUAGUGGCUUACCAAGGCUUUGACGGGUAGCCGGCCUGAGAGGGUGACCGGCCACAUUGGGACUGAGAUACGGCCCAGACUCCUACGGGAGGCAGCAGUGGGGAAUAUUGCACAAUGGGCGGAAGCCUGAUGCAGCAACGCCGCGUGCGGGAUGACGGCCUUCGGGUUGUAAACCGCUUUCGCCUGUGACGAAGCGUGAGUGACGGUAAUGGGUAAAGAAGCACCGGCUAACUACGUGCCAGCAGCCGCGGUGAUACGUAGGGUGCGAGCGUUGUCCGGAUUUAUUGGGCGUAAAGGGCUCGUAGGUGGUUGAUCGCGUCGGAAGUGUAAUCUUGGGGCUUAACCCUGAGCGUGCUUUCGAUACGGGUUGACUUGAGGAAGGUAGGGGAGAAUGGAAUUCCUGGUGGAGCGGUGGAAUGCGCAGAUAUCAGGAGGAACACCAGUGGCGAAGGCGGUUCUCUGGGCCUUUCCUGACGCUGAGGAGCGAAAGCGUGGGGAGCGAACAGGCUUAGAUACCCUGGUAGUCCACGCUGUAAACGGUGGGUACUAGGUGUGGGGUCCAUUCCACGGGUUUCGUGCCGUAGCUAACGCUUUAAGUACCCCGCCUGGGGAGUACGGCCGCAAGGCUAAAACUCAAAGGAAUUGACGGGGCCCCGCACAAGCGGCGGAGCAUGCGGAUUAAUUCGAUGCAACGCGUAGAACCUUACCUGGGUUUGACAUGGAUCGGGAGUGCUCAGAGAUGGGUGUGCCUCUUUUGGGGUCGGUUCACAGGUGGUGCAUGGCUGUCGUCAGCUCGUGUCGUGAGAUGUUGGGUUAAGUCCCGCAACGAGCGCAACCCUUGUUCACUGUUGCCAGCACGUUAUGGUGGGGACUCAGUGGAGACCGCCGGGGUCAACUCGGAGGAAGGUGGGGAUGACGUCAAGUCAUCAUGCCCCUUAUGUCCAGGGCUUCACGCAUGCUACAAUGGCUGGUACAGAGAGUGGCGAGCCUGUGAGGGUGAGCGAAUCUCGGAAAGCCGGUCUCAGUUCGGAUUGGGGUCUGCAACUCGACCUCAUGAAGUCGGAGUCGCUAGUAAUCGCAGAUCAGCAACGCUGCGGUGAAUACGUUCCCGGGGCUUGUACACACCGCCCGUCAAGUCAUGAAAGUUGGUAACACCCGAAGCCGGUGGCCUAACCGUUGUGGGGGAGCCGUCGAAGGUGGGACUGGUGAUUAGGACUAAGUCG